UUAAUCCGUGGCGUACGCGAUCGCGCCACGAUGCACUGGUCGGUCGGGUCGACGCACGCGGAUGGCGUGCACUUCUCUCUCAGUAUGCAUCGCGACCCGUUUGCGGUCUAAGCGCGACGCGGGAGACGGUCGGCCAGACGGUAAUCAACGAAACGCGCACGCGCACCCGCACGCGGGUGGGGGGGGCGCGGGCCCGGCGCGUCGUCGGACGCGGUCGCCGCCGUUGUCACCGACAGUGCGCGUAUCCGUCUGCGAUGUUACAGUUUCGGGCACUCGCAGGACCCGUCUUGAAACACGGACCAAGGAGUCUAGCAUGUGUGCGAGUCAUUGGGUUAAAACCGAGAGGCGCAACGAAAGUGAAGGCGCGCGCCGCGCGCUCAGGGGGGAUGGAGCGAAUCGCUCUCGCACCCCCGAGGCGUCUCGUUUCCAAUCAGUGAAUGUAGGCGCGCUCUGAGCACAGAUGCUGGGACCCGAAAGAUGGUGAACUAUGCCUGGUCAGGUCGAAGUCAGGGGAAACCCUGAUGGAGGACC
rnacentral:rRNA from 1 species